GUGGCUCACGCCUGUAAUCCCAGCACUGUGGGAGGCCGACAAGGCAGCCGGACGUGGAGAGGAGCAGAUCAGUGGAAGAAGACGCCAGCGGCUGCUCGGCAGGAAGACGGCGAGGGAGCAGCAGCCACCGGCGGCGGGACCAGGCGGGGUUUGGCCGGUUGGAGGAGAGCCGGGGCCGCCGAGCAGCCCGCGUCCAGGGCAGAACCGUCUCCCUUCCGGCUCCCCCAGCGGCUGAGAGCUCCUUCCAGGCAAUACGACCCUGGGCGCAUUCUCCAGGCCACGCGUGAUCAGAUUCUGCCGGUACACCGAAGCAGGAACCCGGGAUACGGAAAGCGUCGGUCCUUGCGGCGAGGCGGGGGUCCCAGCACAAACCACCCCCAGACGGCAAACCAGCCGUGCAGCCUGGAACCCACGCCCACCGGGGCCUCAGGCGCCGCGAGACGCUGCCGCGGGGUCGGAGCCCCGCAGCCCGCCCGUCCCCGGAGGCGGCCACCCCCCACCACACCCCCGCGAGGCGCGCGAGGGGCUCUGCGGCUUCUGCGCUCACGCCCGUCG
rnacentral:lncRNA from 1 species